GAGAACAGUGAAGUGCCUGCAUUAGCCAAGUUAGCAGACUCAAGUAAGCAACACUUAACUUAGUCUAUACCUUUGGAGGAGAUUACUACCCCAACUGUUGAUCAAGAAGAGGCAUUGCAAAUUGAUGUUGUUUCCAUGUGGAUGACCCCAAUUUUUUAUUAUUUGGACAAUAGGGUAUUACCUGACAGUCCUCUUGAAGCAAAAAAGAUAAGUGCAAAAGUCUUCUGGUUACAGUGUCCUCAAUGGAUGGCUUUAUAGAAGGUCCUUUUUGCGACCUUGGUUGAAAUGCAUCACUCCUGAGGAAGGGAUAGUGAUUUUGAUUGAUAUUCAUGAAGGUUUGUGCAGUAGCCAUAAGGGUGUUAGAACCAUCGCCAAAAAAGCUUUUAGGCAAGGAUAUUUCUGGCCUUUGGCAAUAGAUAAUGCCAUGGAAUUAGUGCGAAAAUGCAAAAAAUGCCAAGAAUGUAGCUUUAUUCCCUGAGCUCUGGCAAAAAAGUUAGCGGCUAUUAAGAGUCCAUGGCCAUUUUAUCAGUGGGAAAUUGAUAUCCUGGGUUCAUUUCCUAAAGCUUCAAGAUCUAGAAAAUAUGUUAUUGUGGCCAUUAAUCACUUUACCAAGUGGACCGAGGCAGAAGCUUCACAAUUGAU
rnacentral:misc_RNA from 1 species